UACAGAGGGUGCAAGCGUUAAUCGGAAUUACUGGGCGUAAAGCGUGCGUAGACGGUUACAUAAGUCGGAUGUGAAAGCCCUGGGCUCAACCUGGGAAUUGCAUUGGAUACUGGCAAGCUAGAGUGCGGUAGAGGAUGGCGGAAUUCCCGGUGUAGCAGUGAAAUGCGUAGAGAUCGGGAGGAACAUCUGUGGCGAAGGCGGCCAUCUGGACCAGCACUGACACUGAGGCACGAAAGCGUGGGGAGCAAACAGG
rnacentral:rRNA from 1 species